GCGCGAAAACUUUACAAUGCCGGCAACGGCGAUAAGGGGACCUCGAGUGCCAGGUUACAAAUCUGGCUGUCGUGAUGCCUAAAAAGCAUUGCAUUGCAAGGGCCGGGCAAGACCGGUGCCA
rnacentral:rRNA from 1 species